UCGGUCCAAAAACCGGCCGCGUCGCGACGACGCCGCCGACGUCGUCGCUGUAAAGCGCGCGCCGUUGUUCUCGCGCGGGUCGCCGCCAAUCUCAUCGACUGGAUGCGAUCGCUCGCGUCGUGGCGGGAAAUUUGGGGGGGGGGGCGCAUACAGAUGCGUUCCGGCGAAAAUUUCGCGCCGCCGCCGGCGGGGCCGAUAUUUAUCGCUCUUUCCGCGCGUCGCUGUUGGUAAAAUUCGCGCGCAGCCGCUUGAGUGACAAAUGUUUAAAUGUAAGAUACAGCGGAUACAGCGUAUAAUCCGAGCCGCGCCGAUUCCAAUCUCCGCUCGGAAGAUGAAAAUCUUGGAAAAGACGGAGGAGAUGGAGGUAGAGGAGGAAGAGGGAGGCGGUGAUGCACGUUCAUCCGUCCCUGGUGCGUAUUUCGGAAGGGGGUGGGUGAGGAAGGAGGACGCGAAAAGGCCCGGUGGUCACUUCGCGUCGCUGUCAGCCUUCAUGCUUUGUCGGCGGCGAGGCGAGAUGCGAUGAUACCUGAAAUCAGAAUGUACGAAACGUUAAUGACACUGGCGAGUCACUCCCACGCGGUCGGAAACAUCGUGCGCGCCAACAUUCCGAUCGCAUGUGGAAACCGCCGCGGCAUCGACGACGGCAAGAUUCUCUCUCUAGCGCGUCUAUGAAUCAUUGAUAGAGCACGCGGUGCAUGCCUGUACGUACUAGACCUAUACGUGAAACUGCACACACGCAUGAACGUCAAAUUUAGAAAUCGCGCUGGAGAGACCCCGCGAAUCACACUUUUACCGAAAAAUCCCAUGCAAAUACAGCUCGCUCUCUCUCUC